rnacentral:lncRNA from 1 species
AGCUGUCCUCCCUUAUUAAAAAGGGGGGGAGUGGGUACGUAUACUCGUAUACUCCCAAAAAAUCGAAAAACUUCUUACCGCACUUUUGGUGUUUUCGACUUAUCAAAACAUCCUCACCCGCGAAAUCGCAACGAGGUCUUCGGAAAUUGGUCGGCCGCUUGGGAGAAUCGAACCUUUAGCAUCGCGAGACGUCGCAAAAGAUGCCUCAAAAUUGGUUUCUUCCAAGCAAACGAAAUCUCCGCAAAAAGACACAUAUAUGCACACAUUAA